ensembl:lncRNA
AUUUUCGCAGUUUGGAGAAUGGUUUCCAACACAAUACACUUCUAUAAUAGAUGGAAGAUGUAAAGCUAAUCAAAUAAGACAUAUUCACAGAAAUCAAACCUGAGGAAGCUGCUACCUUGGCAGACUUUUCUAUUGAUGAUUUCUUGACCUUUCUUCUUGCAGAGCAUUUUGUUCCCUCACAUUCACUUUCAACAGACCGCGCUCUUGUUUUGGAGCGUUGCACUUGGCUCUGGUAUGGUUUCAGCAAUGGGAACAAACAAGGGGAGAGCUUUGUUGUGAGGCUGAGAUCACCACUGGGGGGACAAUAAAGGGUGAAGUGGCUCUCACAGAAUGUCUGCAGCAAGCCAUUCCUGAGCUCUGUGCAUUAUAAAGGACCUAUCUUCCUUCAGGUGAAUAUUAUUAAAAGAUGAAAGAAGGAUCUGGUGCUCAGCAGCUUGCAGACUGGUUGUGUUAAUUGAUAUGCACUCAGGAUACCCUCAUGGAGCAAGAUCCUCAGCCUGUGGAAACUGGCACAGCUCUGCAGAAAGUCUGUUGUGAAAGUUCAUCAUUCUAAUGGCUGUAAUUAGAGAACACUCACACCAGGGGAUGUUUUGGCCAAAGCUGGUCUCAUUUUGAAUACAGGCGAGUUCCCACAAUGACAAAAUGGCUGCGGUUGGAGGGGAGCUCAAAGCCCACCCAGUGCCACCCCCGGCCAUGGGCAGGGCUGCCCCCCACCAGCUCAGGCUGCCCAGGGCCCCAUCCCACCUGGCCUUGAGUGCCUGCAGGGAUGGGGCACCCACAGCUCUCUGGGCAGCAGUGCCAGCGCCUCACCGCCCUCUGCCAAAAGGAUUGCUUCCUCACAUCUAACCCACAUCUCCUCUCUUUCACUUGAAAGACAUUCCCCCUUGUACAUUGUCACUUCUGUCCUGCCUGUAACCUCCCUCCAAGUACCGGCAGGCUGCAAUGAGGUCUCCCUGCAGCCUUCUCUUCUCCAAGCUGAACAAGCCCAACUCCCUCAGCCUGGCUUCACAGCAGAGGUGCUGCAGCCCUCUGAGCAUCCUCGUGCCCUCCUCUGGACCCACUCCAGCAGCUCCGCAUCCCUCCUGUCCUGGGGGCCCCAGGCCUGGGCACAGCACUGCAACGGGGGCCCUCCCCACAGGGCUGCUCUCAAUGAGUUCUUCUGCAGUCUGUGCUCAUGUCUGGCACUGCCCUGACCCAAGUACAGCACCUUGGACUUGCUGAAUUUCAUCCGGUUCUCAUGUGCCCACUUUCUGAGCCUGUCCAGGUCGCUCUGGAUGACGUCCCU